rnacentral:rRNA from 1 species
UACGUAGGUGGCAAGCGUUUGUCCGGAUUUACUGGGCGUAAAGAGCGCGCAGGCGGUCGUUCAAGUCGCGUGUGAAAGCCCCCCGGCUCAACUGGGGAGGGUCACGCGAUACUGAUCGACUCGAAGGCAGGAGAGGGUAGUGGAAUUCCUGGUGUAGCGGUGAAAUGCGCAGAUAUCAGGAGGAACACCGAUGGCGAAGGCAGGUCUCUGGGCAUUAACUGACGCUGAGGAGCGAAAGCAUGGGGAGCGAACAGG